rnacentral:rRNA from 1 species
GAUGAACGCUGGCGGCGUGCUUAACACAUGCAAGUCGAACGGGAUCCAGGCAGCUUGCUGCCUGGUGAGAGUGGCGAACGGGUGAGUAAUGCGUGACCGACCUGCCCCAUACACCGGAAUAGCUCCUGGAAACGGGUGGUAAUGCCGGAUGCUCCGACUCCUCGCAUGGGGUGUCGGGAAAGAUUAUAUCGGUAUGGGAUGGGGUCGCGUCCUAUCAGGUAGUCGGCGGGGUAACGGCCCACCGAGCCUACGACGGGUAGCCGGCCUGAGAGGGCGACCGGCCACAUUGGGACUGAGAUACGGCCCAGACUCCUACGGGAGGCAGCAGUGGGGAAUAUUGCACAAUGGGCGCAAGCCUGAUGCAGCGACGCCGCGUGCGGGAUGACGGCCUUCGGGUUGUAAACCGCUUUUGAUCGGGAGCAAGCCUUCGGGUGAGUGUACCUUUCGAAUAAGCA